GAUGGUCCCAACAGAAGCGUUCCUUAGCGUCCCCAUGUUUGGUCCCCCCUCUGUUGGGGUACCUAGCACACAGAUCUGGUACUAAAAGGUGGAGCUAGAAACCCUGCAGUCUGAUUGGUCAGUAGAGGACGCUCACUCUGGUUUUAUGUAACCUCUGUUCAUACAUCAGUAAACUACAACUAUAAAAUGAAAGAGAAAAAAAUCACUUCAUUCACUGGGCCGACUGCCGGCAACUUUUAAGGUGGAACGUUAACUUGUAAUGUUACUCAAUGCAUGAGUUGAUGACGUGAAUCCAUCAGCACACCUUAAAUUUCACUGUGACAACUUUGAGCAUCACUUUAGUUUUUAUAUGACACACACUUUUAGUAAUGACUUUAAAAAUAUAGAUUCAUUUGGAGCGGAUUAUGUGAAGGUCAUAUAUUCUAAUCCUCACUUCCUGUGGGCUACAGCAACACUAAACCCCUAAGUGUUUGGUGGAAACGGGCUUUAGAGCUGUAACUCAACAUCUCAUCAUCAUCAUCGUCAUCGUCUUUACUCCUUUUUGAAAAGAUUCUUAACACAUUAACUUUGAUCAAAGAUUCACUCUGGCUCCAGGCUGGACAAAACCAGACUGUUUACAUUAUUUAUUUUGGCAUGUCUAUAUUUUCUGAUGCUUAACGAUGCUAUCUUUUCUCACUGAUGCAAAGUGACCUGAUUUAAGGCUGUUUGUCCACUGGGGGAUACAGUAGGCUGGUAAAUGGUUCGUAGUUUGGUGUCUAAUGAGUACUGAUCCAGGACCAUCACAUUAUGAUCUUGGGUGGACAUUUCACGGCAGGCAGCUUAGAGACUUUUUUAGAUCGGUAUAAAGUAACAAAAAGGUGAUUAACCCUGACAGAGAAAGGUCUCUUCCAUUAAAGUUAAGAACAAACCUUGUAAAAUCAAGCAGACAGCAGAGAAUUUUCUUUCUUGAUUCUGCAGGAUUUUUAUCAAGGUUACUGGAAGGGACUUUAUAUGAUGCUUUAUAAAUCCCUUAACGUUGAGCUUCAGAGUUAAAUCUUGACCUUGACAACAGAAGUUGACAAAAAAACCCAUCGAACUUCAAGCUCUAUCUACAUCAAUCAGCUGAAACAUUAAAAUCCCAGAGAGGUGAAGUUAAUAAUACUGAUGGUGUUUUAAGAAUGCACUGUUCUGGUCCUGGCAUUUGUGUGGAUGCCAAUCGAUAUGCACCACCCACCCAAACACUGUUGCAGACCAAGUACACCCUUUCAUGGCAGCUCAUUCUCAAAUGGCAGUGACCUCCCUCAGCAGACAGUGCAACAUGUCACACCAUAAAGACUGCUCAGGAAUGGCCAGAGGACGUGACAAAGAGCUCAAGGCAUCGACCUGGCCUCCAAAUUCUCCAGAUCCCAGUCUGAUCAAGCAUUAGUGGGACGUGCCUAAACCACAGGUACCCCUGAACCACAAUGGAGCGUCCUUGGAUGGGACUUGGCUCUGACAUGUCAAGGGGUGUCCUGUGGUGUCUGGCACUGGGGCGUUUGUGGCGGAUCCUUUGAGACCUGUCGGUUGAGAGGUGGGGUAUCAGCACGUCCCACGGAUGCUUGAUGAAAUUGCAGUCUGAGGAAUUUGGAGGACAUGUUGACACCAUGAUGUCUUUGUCACGUUCCUCAGGCCGUUCCUGAGAUGUUUUUGCAUUGUGGCAUGGUGCAUUGUCUUGUUGGUGGGCCACUGUCAUUCAGCGAGUGCCGUUGCCGUGAAUUGUACUUGAUCUGCAACAAUUUUUGGGUAGGUAGAGUGCAUCAGGUGGCAUCCACAUGAACGCCAGGACCAAAGGUUUCCCAGCAGAACAUUAUAACGAGAUGAUCAAUGUUUUACACUUCACCUGUCAGUGGUUUCAAUGUUUGGCUUGUUGGACCUUUGAUUCUAUCACAUGGUCUUAUGGUGUUUUCUCAGCACUGUAAGAACGUCUCGUCCAUUGCUUUAACAUUAUGUAGCCGGUGGUAUUGAGUAAGGAAUGUUUGAUUUUAUUAAAAUUAAUCCUUUUGUUGAACUAAGUUUGUAUUGACUCAAUGAAAGGAACCUUUCUCUGUCAAGUCUUUUUGUUACUUUGCGUCUAACUCCACCUCAUUUUUAUCACCUUAAAAGUCAUCCAGAAGAUUAUUUGCAUCCUGCAUUGAAUUGAGAGACUGAAAUGUCUGUGAUUCGUGAGAUGUCCAUUGUCAGUUCUGGAUCAGCACUAAUAGCUUCUGAGCUAUGACAUGAAAAAAACACCAGUAUGAUCCGUAAAGCAGGAAGAGCCCAGUGGACUCAGACGCCCUGAUAGUUCAGAUUGUUUAGGUUUUUUUCCAAAGUGCCUUAAUGUUCUGUUGUUGUUGAGAUCGGUCCAUUAACCUGCUGUUUGCAAGCUAAUGGGCCGACUUGGAUUCAGUGAGGAAAAACAAAAACUGAAGAAGAUAAUGGAACCACAACCACAAAGGCGAGGUCUGUGCGGCUGGGAUGGAGAAAUGAAGCGAUUUACUAUGUUUUAGAAGAGAAGAUGUCCACAGUAUUAUAAGUCACAUCACAAAGAGCUCACAUGACUUGUGUUGUUUUUCUACAUUUUUUAAAAGUGUGUUUAAACUACAAGUUGUGAUUUGUUGCAUGUUGUAAAUUAAAGGCUCAUUGCACCA